rnacentral:lncRNA from 1 species
UCCAUAAAAAACAUCUCCUCUCUCACUGACAGGAGUUGAAUUUCCUGAAUUUAGCAGGAAGGAAAUGACAUGUACAAGUAACACAAGUAAGAAUAGUUCAUAUGUGAGCAGAAUGUCUGCAUUCAGAGGGAUUCGUAAAUAUCUGCUGCUGCUUCAUUUGACAGCUGUAACUGGACAGUAUACGUCCUUCGUUGUCAGAGAUGGAGAGAGUGUCACUUUGCCCUGUGAAAACAUGACGUACAACCAGAAUGGAUGUGAACAUACAAGCUGGCUCUUCAGCGGUGCGGGGAACACACCGGCAGUAGAACUGGUCACACUCGGGCAGGUUGGUGAAAAUGACGGAGCUAAAUCAGACCGACUGGGUGUCGCAGAGAACUGUUCUCUGGUUCUAAAGAAGGUCACAGUCGAGGAUGUCGGUCGUUACAGCUGCAGACAGGUCAGCAAAUCAAGACAACAGGGUCCAGACGCCCAUAUCUAUCUGUCUGUUAUUAACAGGUCUGAACACAGUGACAGUGAUACGGUGACUCUUUCCUGCUCUGUGACGACAUUUGGAUGGUGCACACAGAGAGUGAAGUGGCUGUUUAAGGGUCAAGGCAUCACAGAUGCGAAGACGAAGCAGGCCUACUGCUCAACCAGUGUGACCUUUAAGACAUCUCAUUACAUUCACACAUCAGGGUCUGGAUCACUUACGUGUGAGGCCACUGAUAUUUACACUGGAAGCGUGCGGGUGUUUACCUUUGGGCCUCAGUCCUCAGGUGAGGAUGCGACAACAGUGAGAACAACCAAAGAGAGUCCAACUGCAGUUGAAGAUGCAACAAAACCAAAAGACUGGUGGAGAUAUGUCACCGUGUCUGUGGGAUUAGCAUUACUUGUAACGUGUGUUGUGGCAGUCAACAUGUGGACAAGAACCAAAGGGUCCAAAACCGAGAUUGCUGAAAACGUGGGUAACAACUAUGAAGAUGAUGGCACGGAGGACUAUGAAAACAUGUAAAUUCAGCAUCCACGCAGUGUGAUGGCUGCUUGUUGAGGUGCCGUAGAACAGGUGAUCUCUGCCUAUGUGUUGCUCUGAGGAAAAGGGCGUCCUGCCAGCCACUGCUUGUACCAAAUUACCUUUAACCUGAAAUCAAUAAUGUGACACCUACCGAAGUUAGGUACUGAAUUUGUUCGCAUAAUGAAGAUGUAGAAAAUAAGUUGUGAUGUUAGAAUCAGUCUUGACCACAGUCAACACUUCUGCAAACUGUACAGGCUCAGAGAGUAGCUGAAUUAGCCAGUGUGUAGGCAUAAAGCCAUGUGUUUGCUUGUAUAUUUGGUUAUUACAUGUAUAAUUUUUGUGUAUAAGUGUAUUUAUGUAUGUCCUAGUUUUCUCCUCUGAUUCUAAACCUUCCCAUGAAGUCAAAUCGACGUCAAAGUGUCUUUAUCACCUCAUCUAUUGCUCUAUAUCGCACCUGUUAGCCUGUUUAAGGCCCAAGAAUGGCUACAAAGUUGAUUUUGGGGUAUAUUUAAUGGUAUUAUUAAGUGUAUAAUCAAAAAUUGUGUUGCAGAUUCAUCCUGCACUUUGGGGUCUAUACACAUUUUUCAUCCACUAAAUGCAUUUUAUAUAAUUAUGAUGUUGCCAUAGAUUUAUAAAAAGAGAGACACUGCCAGGUGGCUUGGUUCUGGGACCAGGAGGUGAUUUAUGAAAUUUACAUGAGGCUUUGUUGCAAAAGUGACUGCUCACUGCUACUCUUUGCAGCUGGCAUUAGCUAGUUAGCACAGUUAGCUGUGGGUCAUGGUCCUUGGUUUAAGUUCGGUGGAUUCGCUGUUUCAUGUUGAAAAUGUAUCACUGUGUGAAAUGUUUUCUUUCCACUUCCUGUAUGUUUCUGUCUUCCUGCCCUUCUCUGUGUCCACCUGUUUCUCAUUUGUUCAUUAGCCGUUAUGGAUUAAAUAUUGUAGAGCUUUGUUUUUCCCUUAUUCUUCAUGGGUUCAUUUGUUUUCAUCGAUCCUUAUUAGAGAUGCACCGAUCAGGAUUUUUGGGGCCGAUCACCGAUCACCGAUCACCGAAAACAGUAUCUGCCGAUCCCGAUAUUGCCGAUCACCGAUCACAGGGUCAAAUCCAUAAAUUUUUCUAUAUUGUUGUCUUGUGUAACUUUCAUAUAUUUAAUUAAUGAUUCUUCUUACACAACAUUGACAUUGUAUUAUUAAGUAUAAAAAUUAGGAGAUGAGAAAGUAUCAUGAAUUGACCACCGUUUUAUUGCAGGCUGAGGCAAUGUGCAAUAUUUCACACUCUAGAGACUCUCUUAGAGACAACUUGGACUCAGCUUACAUAGAGUAACUGUAGCUUACUAGUGGGAAUGCAUGCAGUCAGGGUGGGAAUUUUGUCAUUUUAGGGGCAAGUCCAUUUGGCCUUCACUUCUUUUUUUCAGGGGCACCAAGCCCACAUGACAGGGCACAAAGGCCACUGGGUAAAAUGUGUUGAUUUACCUUUCAGACUGAUACCAUAACAUCCUAAUUUAUAAUAAGACAUGGAUUGUGUAUUAAAACAUUUUUUUAUACCAAAAUCAAGUUAAAGUUACAUUAGAAAGUAGUUUUUGUUAAGUAGGGUUAGGGUGAGGUGAUUUUUGUGACACCUCACUGAAUAUUAGUGUUAUUGAAUAUUUCUCCCAAUAGAAAUUCCCCAAAAUUAUGGCAAAGCAAAUUUUUUCCAAACAAAAAAAUGUAGAAUAACCAGCAGGAGACCACUGAUGUGUGGAGUGAUUUUGGUGACACUACACUCUGAAUAAUACUGAAGUUAUUGAAUUUUUUGUAGUUUCUCUUUUCAGUGUUGCACUUUGUAGACGGUCCCUGCGCCCUCGUCUCACAGACGGCUGACCAUACAGACCAGAGUUAAUGUCCAGACGCUCGUUUUGAUGAAAAUACGGUUGUAGCUCGUUGUCUACCGUACUACGAUAGGAAGGAGCCAUCGUUUGUGUUUUAACAAGGUUUCACUUAUGAGUUAUUGAUCUGGGAAGUUCGAAUCUGUGAAUAUAUUUCCAACUUUACCGGACUAAAUCCUACCACAUAAGUCAGUUUCGUAUCAUGUCAAAACCGGCUGCGCUCGCUUUCGCACCUGUGCUGUAAGUUUUGUCCUACUGUUUUGAGACGCUGCUGCUGUGUGAGAGGCUUUCACGUGAGAUCAUCGUGAUGAUGAGACUCCACCUGCGCGAACCGCGGACUCACUGAAGUCACUGUGAGUGACUACUGUGCACUCAGAUGGCUGUAAUUCAGGGCAGGCUUGAAUUCAGAGGCCGCUGUGGCCGUACGAUGAGUUUUUUUUUCACGGGGCAUCAAGGCCAAAAUGCGGGGCAACGGCGGCCAUGAAAUUCCCUCCCGGCAUGCAGUUAAUGCACUGUCUUUAUACUUAAACGUCAUCUGAUCGACCUGAUGUGAUCUAUUUUGAGAACUCCGAUCAAAACCGAUAGGGGCAUUAUCGGCCGAUUGCGAUCGGUUGCCGAUCGAUCGGUGCAUCUCUAAUCCUUAUAUGUCCCCUCUGUUUAUGAUUUGUUCACCAUGCCUUUAUGAUUGAUCCUGUGUUUACGUAAUACUGAUUGUCCUUUUCGUGACCUGCAUUUUGGAUUUUCGGACCUCAGCUGUGUUAUUAAAGCUCUCCUUUUGUUGCUCAACCUACCUGCCUGUUUGGGUCCCUUUUUGAUCAACUGUGUAGUGAGUUCAGUGGUUCUAUUUACUG